rnacentral:piRNA from 1 species
UCUCAGUGUUUUCAGGCUGAUUGGAGAUC